rnacentral:rRNA from 1 species
GAGGGAUCAUUACUGAGUUUACGCUCUAUAACCCUUUGUGAACAUACCUAUAACUGUUGCUUCGGCGGGUAGGGUCUCCGCGACCCUCCCGGCCUCCCGCCUCCGGGCGGGUCGGCGCCCGCCGGAGGAUAACCAAACUCUGAUUUAACGACGUUUCUUCUGAGUGGUACAAGCAAAUAAUCAAAACUUUUAACAACGGAUCUCUUGGUUCUGGCAUCGAUGAAGAACGCAGCGAAAUGCGAUAAGUAAUGUGAAUUGCAGAAUUCAGUGAAUCAUCGAAUCUUUGAACGCACAUUGCGCCCGCCAGCAUUCUGGCGGGCAUGCCUGUUCGAGCGUCAUUUCAACCCUCAAGCUCUGCUUGGUGUUGGGGCCCUACAGCUGAUGUAGGCCCUCAAAGGUAGUGGCGGACCCUCCCGGAGCCUCCUUUGCGUAGUAACUUUACGUCUCGCACUGGGAUCCGGAGGGACUCUUGCCGUAAAACCCCCC